rnacentral:lncRNA from 1 species
CCGGGAGGAAGAGGAGGAGUACAAGGCGGGCGGGCGGGUGCGCAGCGCGAAGAGGCAGCCUCGGCGCUGCCCGGCUCGGCGUCAGCUCAUGAUGCCUCAGAUCUGAUCCGCAUCUAACAGGCUGGCAAUGAAGAUACCCAGAGAAUAGUUCACAUCUAUCAUGCGUCACUUCUAGACACAGCCACCAGACGCAUCUCCUCCCCUUUCUGCCUGACCUUAGGGACACAUCCCACCGCCUCUCUUGACGUCUGCCUGGUCAACCAUCACUUCCUUAGAGAAUAAGGAGAGAGGCGGACGCAGGAAAUCAUGCCACCGACGGGCCACCAGCCAUGAGUGGGUGACGCUGAGCUGACGUCAAAGACAGAGAGGGCUGAAGCCUUGUCAGCACCUGUCACCCCGGCUCCUGCUCUCGGUGUGGCCUGAAGCCUGGAUCCUCCUGGUGAAAUCAUCUUGGCCUGAUAGCAUUGUGAGGUCUUCAGACAGGACCCCUCGGAAGCUAGU